rnacentral:rRNA from 1 species
AUACAGAGGGUGCGAGCGUUAAUCGGAAUUACUGGGCGUAAAGCGCGCGUAGGCGGUCUAUUAAGUCAGAUGUGAAAUCCCAGGGCUCAACCUUGGAACUGCAUCUGAUACUGGUAGACUAGAGUUUUGGAGAGGGAAGUAGAAUUUCAGGUGUAGCGGUGAAAUGCAUAGAGAUCUGAAGGAAUACCAGUGGCGAAGGCGACUUCCUGGCCAAAAACUGACGCUGAGGUGCGAAAGCGUGGGUAGCAAACAGGAUUAGAAACCCCAGUAGUCC